rnacentral:sRNA from 1 species
AGGGUUUCCUUGUUAGAAGAUACAAAGCCAAAGACUCAUACGGACUUCAUCUACACCAUCAAAGCUUUGAGAAGCAAGAAGAAGUAUGGUUAGUAUUUUGGAGUCAAAUAUGACUUGAUGUCAUGUGUAUGAUUGAGUAUAAGAACAA